rnacentral:rRNA from 1 species
AUUGAACGCUGGCGGCAUGCCUUACACAUGCAAGUCGAACGGCAGCAUGGAGAGCUUGCUCUCUGAUGGCGAGUGGCGAACGGGUGAGUAAUGCAUCGGAACGUACCGUGUAAUGGGGGAUAACGUAGCGAAAGUUACGCUAAUACCGCAUACGACCGGAGGGUGAACGCAGGGGAUCGCAAGACCUUGCGUUAUACGAGCGGCCGGUGUCAGAUUAGCUAGUUGGUGAGGUAAAGGCUCACCAAGGCGACGAUCUGUAGCGGGUCUGAGAGGAUGAUCCGCCACACUGGGACUGAGACACGGCCCAGACUCCUACGGGAGGCAGCAGUGGGGAAUUUUGGACAAUGGGGGCAACCCUGAUCCAGCCAUGCCGCGUGAGUGAAGAAGGCCUUCGGGUUGUAAAGCUCUUUCGGCCGGGAAGAAAUCGCACAGGCUAAUACUCUGUGUGGAUGACGGUACCGGCAUAAGAAGCACCGGCUAACUACGUGCCAGCCGCCGCGGUAA